UACGAAGGGGGCUAGCGUUGCUCGGAAUCACUGGGCGUAAAGCGCGCGUAGGCGGGUCUUUAAGUCAGGGGGGAAAUCCUGGAGCUCAACUCCAGAACUGCCUUUGAUACUGGGGAUCUCGAGUCCGGAAGAGGUGAGUGGAACUCCGAGUGUAGAGGUGAAAUUCGUAGAUAUUCGGAAGAACACCAGUGGCGAAGGCGGCUCACUGGUCCGGUACUGACGCUGAGGUGCGAAAGCGUGGGGAGCAAACGGG
rnacentral:rRNA from 1 species